GGUUGAAGCAUUCAGUGUAAAUUGACAAACAGCUGUGGGAAAAAUUUGACAUUUCGGUAAGAAGUUGUUUACCUUCAUACGACGGCGGUGGUUUUAGAAAAAAAACGAGUUACACGCGUACCGAGUUUUUAAAAACGACCUAUAUUCCAUCCAAAUAUUAAAAUAAUCGAAGUUUUGGUGCAGUUUAACUCGUUUAAAGUGUACAACAUGACAACAACUUGCGCUGCAUCUUUUUGUAGCAAUAGCCGGUAUCUGGCAAAAAAGCACAACAUCGACAUCAUUUUCCAUAAAUUUCCAACUGAGCCAGUUCUUUUGCGCAAAUGGAUAUUAUUUUGCAAACAAGAAGACAAAUGGACUCCUUCAAAAAACCAUAUUUUGUGCUCCUCACAUUUCGUGAAGGACGAUUACCAGCUCAUCAACUCACCGUCCAAGGAAAACAAGAAGACGUUUAAGAAGCUGAAACCAGUUGAUGCUGGCCGGAAAUCAGAAGGCAGCGAUCACAACGCACGAAUCACUCGGCUGACACUAUCAAUGCUUCAAAGCGGCCAAGGCUGCUUU